GCGUUUGGGUGCGCAAACCCGUCGCGCGCAAUGAAAGUGAACGAAGGGUGGGAGCCCCCUCUUCGCCGGGGGGGCGCACCAUCGACCGAUCCUGAAGUCUUCGGAUGGAUUUGAGUAGGAGCGUGGCUGUUGGGACCCGAAAGAUGGUGAACUUUGCAUGGAUAGGGUGAAGCCAGAGGAAACUCUGGUGGAGGCUCGCAGCGGUUCUGACGUGCAAAUCGAUCGUCAAAUCAGUGCAAAGGGGCGAAAGACUAAUCGAACCGUCUAGUAGCUGGUUCCUGCCGAAGUUUCCCUCAGGAUAGCAGUAACGAACCCCAGUUUUAUGAGGUAGAGCGAAUGAUUAGAGGCCUUGGGGCUGAAGCAGCCUUAACCUAUUCUCAAACUUCGAAUGUGUAAGAAGUCCUUGUUGCUUCGUUGAACGUGGACACUCGAAUGCAGCGUUACUAGUGGGCCAUUUUUGGUAAGCAGAACUGGCGAUGCGGGAUGAACCGAACGCGAGGUUAAGGUGCCGGAAUGCACGCUCAUCAGACACCACAAAAGGUGUUGGUUCAUCCAGACAGCAGGACGGUGGCCAUGGAAGUCGGAACCCGCUAAGGAGUGUGUAACAACUCACCUGCCGAAUGAACCAGCCCUGAAAAUGGAUGGCGCUCAAGCGUGCUACCCAUACCUCGCCGCCGGGGGGCAGGAUUUGAAGCCCCGGCGAGUAGGCAGGCGCGGCGGUCGGUGACGAA
rnacentral:rRNA from 2 species